CCUACGGGAGGCAGCAGUGGGGGAUAUUGCACAAUGGGGGAAACCCUGAUGCAGCGACGCCGCGUGGGUGAAGAAGCGCCUCGGCGCGUAAAGCCCUGUCAGCAGGGAAGAAAAUGACGGUACCUGAAGAAGAAGCCCCGGCUAACUACGUGCCAGCAGCCGCGGUAAUACGUAGGGGGCAAGCGUUAUCCGGAUUUACGGGGUGUAAAGGGGGCGCAGACGGCGAUGCAAGCCAGGAGUGAAAGCCCGGGGCCCAACCCCGGGACUGCUCUUGGAACUGCGUGGCUAGAGUGCAGGAGGGGCAGGCGGAAUUCGUGGUGUAGCGGUGAAAUGCGUAGAUAUCAGGAGGAACACCGGUGGCGAAGGCAGCCUGCUGGACUGCAACUGACGUUGAGGCCCGAAAGCGUGGGGAGCAAACAGGAUUAGAUACCCCAGUAGUC
rnacentral:rRNA from 1 species